UACGUAGGUGGCAAGCGUUGUCCGGAUUUACUGGGCGUAAAGAGCGCGCAGGCGGUCGUUCAAGUCGCGUGUGAAAGCCCCCGGCUCAACUGGGGAGGGUCACGCGAUACUGGUCGACUCGAAGGCAGGAGAGGGUAGUGGAAUUCCAGGUGUAGCAGUGAAAUGCGUAGAUAUCUGGAGGAACACCGGUGGCGAAGGCGACAUCCUGGACCAAUACUGACGCUGAGGAGCGAAAGCCAGGGGAGCAAACGGG
rnacentral:rRNA from 1 species